CUGCUUCACUUAGAACCAUGCUUAACUGCUACCUUCACCCUGCAAACAAGAUGCAUCUGCCCAGCCUGCUGGACCAGCAUGGAAGGGACCGUGGCUGCACUCAGGCCCUGUCCAGGCCCGCCCUGGAGGACUGUGGAGAGAGAUCUUCCCAGUGGACGGAACCGUGAGCACCUUGCCCAGCCAGAGAGAGAGCCAGAGGGAGAGGAAGAAUCUACUCUCAAAAGGAAGUCCAGGUUGACUGAGAUCUCCAAAGGCAUGAUUAGCUCUUUGUCAUUAGUCAGUUGACGUGGAAGUCUUACCCCAGUUUAUAACUUUGAAAUUAGCACAAAUCAGA